UUUGUAGGUUAUGACCAAGUCAAGGGUUGGAAGUCUUGAAGGAAGGAACAUUCUCAGUUGAGAUAAAGAAGGAGCAAGAGAAGAUAAGGAGAGAGAGAGGAGGAACUGUUGGAAGCUCCUAAAUUCAAGGGAAGAAGUGGACAAAGUGGAGUGAGUACAACAAACUUUCCAACGGCCACUUGUCCACUAUCAAAUCCCACGACUUCAACCUUGGGAAUCAAGAUUCGAAGCUUAUAAAUACAAGGGUGAAGUCUCAGUUCAGAUCACGAAGUUUGAAGAUCAAAAUCGAGUCAUUUGAGUGAUCUGUGUACGAAUGUUGUUUAGAGUGUUAGGAUAACAUUGUUUAUAGCAUUCAUUGAUUUCGUCGGAUUUCGGAGUAUAGCUCUUGAAUCCAGUUUCUGUUUGUUAGUGAGAGUGUCUAGUGUUCAAAUACCUAGAGUCUUGUAAAGGUAUUGAACGUGAGUGUUCAUUCUCCAUUUAGUCAUUUUGCCA
rnacentral:lncRNA from 1 species